AAAAACAUGAUCAUUUACUGCAUACGAUUUUAAGAUUGAGUUGAUGCUGUUUCUGCUGUUGCAGAUUAUAUUUUAAAGCAAUUGUAAUUCAUUAUGUAAUAUUUUAUUACAUAAAAUAUUAUAUAAUAAAUAUCUGUGAUCCAGUUGAUUCAGGUGUGACAGAGAAGAUUUAGGAUGUCCUGCAAUACCAGAGUUUAAAAACUGCAGUGCAUCACACCUGAGACUCACCUGUUGUUGGAACACGCUCUCUGUGGACAUGACCUCCAUGGCUCCGCCCCCUCCAGUUCAGGACACGCCCCAUUAAUCAUUAUGGCUUUUAUAGUUCUUGCACACUUUCUUAUAUGAAGUGUGUAUGCAGACUUACAGUGAGAUGAGACUAUUCAAAUACAUUUGACAAUCAUUCAGAGCAGAUGAAUCCAAUCCAAUGUGGAUCAACACUGUGUCAAUCCUGAAGUUUGGUUUUGGACAAAAAAAGAAGGACAGUACAGAGUAGUUUAUCAGGUGAUAGUUUGAGGCCAGUGUGUGUGUUUUUUCACCUUACACAUUCUUGUCAGAGAAGUUUUUAAUGCAACUCAUUUUUAAUUCAGAUUGCUGCAGUUGCAACACAUCGGGCUGAAACUCUUGAUGAAGUUUUAGUAUUAAAUUCUUUUUAACUGUUCAUUGUCUUGUCAGUGACUGACUGUCUCUAUAUUAAUUUAUAUUAAACAAUUCCACAUGCAAUCAAUGAAAAUCAAGUCUAAAUGUGUAUUUA
rnacentral:lncRNA from 1 species